GGCGUUAUAGUGUAGUGGUUAUCACUCGGGAUUUUGACGUAUGCAGUUCUUGCGGGUCUUCCCGAAACCCAGGUUCGAACCCUGGUAACGCCU